rnacentral:rRNA from 1 species
UGGGGGAUAUUGCACAAUGGGCGAAAGCCUGAUGCAGCGACGCCGCGUGGGGGAUGAAGGCCUUCGGGUUGUAAACUUCUUUUGCUCUGAACAAGGCGCACCAUGGGGUGUGUUGAGUGUAGGGGUGGAUUAGCGCCGGCUAACUACGUGCCAGCAGCCGCGGUAAUACGUAGGGCGCGAGCGUUGUCCGGGAUUAUUGGGCGUAAAGGGCUUGUAGGUGGCUGGUUUAGUCUGUCGUGAAAGCUCAUGGCUUAACUGUGGGUUUGCGGUGGGUACGGGCUGGCUUGAGUGCAGUAGGAGAGGCUGGAAUUCCUGGUGUAGCGGUGGAAUGCGCAGAUAUCAGGAGGAAUACCGGUGGCGAAGGCGGGUCUCUGGGCUGUUACUGACACUGAGGAGCGAAAGCAUGGGGAGCGAACAGG